rnacentral:rRNA from 1 species
AUUGAACGCUGGCGGCAUGCUUUACACAUGCAAGUCGAACGGUAACAGGCCUUCGGGUGCUGACGAGUGGCGAACGGGUGAGUAAUGCAUCGGAACGUGCCCAGAGGUGGGGGAUAACGCAGCGAAAGCUGUGCUAAUACCGCAUAUUAUCUGAGGAUGAAAGCGGGGGACUAAGCAGCAAUGUUUGGCCUCGCGCCUUUGGAGCGGCCGAUGUCAGAUUAGGUAGUUGGUGGGGUAAAGGCCUACCAAGCCGACGAUCUGUAGCUGGUCUGAGAGGACGACCAGCCACACUGGGACUGAGACACGGCCCAGACUCCUACGGGAGGCAGCAGUGGGGAAUUUUGGACAAUGGGCGCAAGCCUGAUCCAGCAAUGCCGCGUGCAGGAAGAAGGCCUUCGGGUUGUAAACUAGCUUUUGUACGGAACGAAAAGGACUCUGGUUAAUACCUGGGGCUCAUGACGGUACCGUAAGAAUAAGCACCGGCUAACUACGUGCC